AGAGUUUGAUCAUGGCUCAGGAUGAACGCUGGCGGCGUGCUUAAUACAUGCAAGUCGAGCGAUCGGACGAAGGAGCUUGCUCCUUCGUUACGGAGCGGCGAACGGGUGAGUAACACGUGAGCAACCUGCCUCGGAGACGGGGAUAACGUUGGGAAACCAGCGCUAAUACCCGAUGACCCGGUAGGGGGGCAUCCCCCGGCCGGCAAAUGUUCCGGCGCUCUGAGAGGGGCUCACGGCCUAUCAGCUUGUUGGCGGGGUAAAGGCCCACCAAGGCUUCGACGGGUAACUGGCGUGAGAGCGCGACCAGUCACACCGGGACUGAGAUACGGCCCGGACUCCUACGGGAGGCAGCAGUAGGGAAUAUUGGACAAUGGGCGAAAGCCUGAUCCAGCGACGCCGCGUGAGGGAUGAAGGCCUUCGGGUUGUAAACCUCUGUUGUUAGGAAAGAAGCCGGGUGCAUAACCCGGUGACGGUACCUAACGAGGAAGCCCCGGCUAACUACGUGCCAGCAGCCGCGGUGAGACGUAGGGGGCGAGCGUUAUCCGGAUUCACUGGGCGUAAAGGGCGCGUAGGCGGUUACGAAAGUCCGAUGUGAAAAGUCACGGCUCAACUGUGAUCGUGCAUCGGAUACUUCGUUGACUUGAGGUCGGUAGAGGCAAGUGGAACUAGCGGUGUAGCGGUGAAAUGCGCAGAUAUCGCUAGGAACGCCGGUGGCGAAGGCGAUUUGCUGGGCCGUACCUGACGCUGAUGCGCGAAAGCUAGGGGAGCGAACCGGAUUAGAUACCCUAGUAGUCC
rnacentral:rRNA from 1 species